rnacentral:rRNA from 2 species
GACGAACGCUGGCGGCGUGCCUAAUACAUGCAAGUCGAGCGGACAGAAGGGAGCUUGCUCCCGGACGUUAGCGGCGGACGGGUGAGUAACACGUGGGCAACCUGCCCCUUAGACUGGGAUAACUCCGGGAAACCGGAGCUAAUACCGGAUAAUCCCUUUCUCCACCUGGAGAGAGGGUGAAAGAUGGCUUCGGCUAUCACUAGGGGAUGGGCCCGCGGCGCAUUAGCUAGUUGGUAAGGUAACGGCUUACCAAGGCGACGAUGCGUAGCCGACCUGAGAGGGUGAUCGGCCACACUGGGACUGAGACACGGCCCAGACUCCUACGGGAGGCAGCAGUAGGGAAUCUUCCGCAAUGGACGAAAGUCUGACGGAGCAACGCCGCGUGAGUGAGGAAGGCCUUCGGGUCGUAAAGCUCUGUUGUGAGGGAAGAAGCGGUACCGUUCGAAUAGGGCGGUACCUUGACGGUAC